UGGACUGAGUUGCAAAUAGUCACUUUACAUUGCCACAUACCGCAAAUGCUAUAUAUUGUAUUCAUUCAGUUAGUAGGUGUACUAUUUAGCAAGUUCAUUUAAAGAAUGAUGUUUGAUCCAUCGUUGAGGGGUAUUAAAAUGAAGGCAGUGUCAUGUACAUACGUAACCCGGAAAUCAUAAUUCAAACGACUGCUCCAGCUGUUUUCAGCUAAAUUUUAUGUCAGAAGCUUGAUUGGCAGUGCAUCUGAAAUUUGAAGUGCAUCUGCAAUUUUUGUAACAUCUUAGCUGGGAGAUUUUUGUUGGUGGUACAAUAUGAAGUGAUAAUUAAAUGCUUAAGAACGUUGUCGCAAUGGUAGCUCCAAAUGUUGAAUCUGUCGAAACACUGAUAGCAUAUCAGCCAUAAAAACUUCUUUACAGAUAGCUCUUAUCUGCGGGCAACCUAUCUUCUUCUCUUCAUUGACUAAACUUAACUUUCACAAAAGUUUGUAGUGAGCUAUACUUCAAAGAAUUGGGUGAAGUUAUUAAUGUUUCAAAGGGCAUGUUACUGUUGAGUUUGCAACAGACGAAGUAGUGUAGAAGGCAAGGUUUCUUAUCUGGAACACCUUAGUUGAGGUUUUUGACAGUACCUCCAGUGAUUUGGUUAGGCUGAAGCAAAGAGGUAAAAGAACGCAUAACCUAACAGGUGUAUCUAGCAUCUGACGGGCAGUAGAACUCUAAGAGAGAAAUCUGCUUAAAGUUUCAAAGGAAAGUGAAAAUGACUUGAAACAAUGCCUUUCUCAGUCAGAAUUUAAUAUAGACAUAUAACAGCACAAGUUUGUUAUUUAUAUCCUUGCGGCGACGAAUAAAGAUAUCCAAAUUAAGUUAUUUCUGAGAAACACGAAAGAGGAUCGGCAGUCCCCUUAACUUUUGUUUAAUAUGCAGUAUGUGGUUUAAGCUUAGAUUAUAAAGAGCUCAACGACCACAAAUGAGAGUCUCCAUUUGCAAUUGGAGCACUAAUGAUUGCCAGUGUGUACACCAUGGGUAAUUUCUUACGGAAGGAGUAUGACUGACACGGAUCAAGAAGCUCAGAUACAAACUAUCCUUAGUGAUAAUAGUCAAGUGUACAACGAGAGGAGAUGCAAGGGUCACUUGAAGCACGUCCAGAUUAGGUGGUUGAUUUGCUGGAUGAUAAUUAUCUCUCAACUUUCUGUUGUUUAUUCUUCUCCAUUUUCGAUUUUUAACCUUACCGUGUCAAUAGAUAAUGAAUUUGUUUUAAGAAUUCCUCUUUAACCGUAACUAUUUACUGUUACAACUCUGUACAGUUCAAUGGAAAAGACUACGGCCACUUCUUUUUGCA